AUUGUAUUCGGGUCUCUCUCUCUUCAUCACAGGUGUGUGUGUCGAUGACGUUCUAUCAUCGCAUCGUGUGCUAUUCACUCCAACGUCGUUAUACACUUAGCCAUGGUCGUCUGUGGGGAUCGUAGGAGAGCCAAGCGUCGGGGACCACCUGCUCGUGGUGGCGGCCGAGGUAAGAAGGUAAAGGUAUCUCAGUCUCAACCUGGUGCCUCGGUGCUUGAAUGCCCCUGACCAUGAGCUUAUUGCAGAAGAGGAUGCGACGUUUCCUAGGUUGAAGAUUAGGUCGCCAUCUGCCGUCGUCGUUAAAUUUUAAACGCCCUUUGUAGGUGUUUGAUGUUUAUUCUUUACGUUUUAUUCAGCUACAGUAUGCGCCUAUUUCACAUUGCAGAUUUUUGUUGACAAUGUUAUAUAUCACACAUUUUUUGCUCA